GGCGUCGUAGCUCAGUUGGUAGAGCAGAGGACUGAAAAUCCUUGUGUCGGUGGUUCAAUUCCACCCGAUGCCA
rnacentral:tRNA from 1 species